rnacentral:misc_RNA from 1 species
AUAUAUCAAACCUCUCUUGUUGAGUGUUUGGAUGGUGGGGGUGAUUUUUUGCUGGUCUCUUUUCUGAGGGUCAGCUCCCCUGAAAUGCAUUAGCGGAACCCCGUUCAUUGGUGUGAUAAAUAUCUACGCUAUUGACGGUUAAGCAAGUUCAGCUUCAUUGACUCAUUA